UACAGAGGUGGCAAGCGUUGUUCGGAAUUACUGGGCGUAAAGGGCGCGUAGGCGGUUCGAUAAGUCCCGUGUGAAAUCCCUCGGCUCAACUGAGGAAUGGCACGGGAAACUGACGGGCUUGAGUUCGGGAGAGGGAAGCGGAAUUCCGGGUGUAGCGGUGAAAUGCGUAGAUAUCCGGAGGAACACCGGUGGCGAAGGCGGCGUUCUGGACUGCAACUGACACUGAGGAACGAAAGCCAGGGGAGCAAACGGG
rnacentral:rRNA from 1 species